rnacentral:lncRNA from 1 species
CUUGGUUAAAAGUGCUGGUCAGGGCUAUUGUUAGGGGAACCCAGAGCUGUGAUGCACACGGUUCACGGGCAGUGAUACAUGGUGUGUGGACACGUGUCACGUUUUGGAACUAGAGAGGUUUCCUGUGAACAGCUGGGGUCAGGUGUAUUAUUGUGAGCUGGGGUGAUGAUGGGUUACCAGCAGCUUGUUGCGUCACCGUGGGGACUGAUACCGAUGGCCUCGUUGAUAGUGGAAGAGUGACGGUCGGAUUUAUAGAGUUGGGGUGAUAAUGGUUACCAGCAGCUUCUGGUGUCACCGUUGACCGACACUAUAGAUGGCCUUAUUUAUGGAACAGGGUGACGGCGAGUCGAGGGUUGCAAGAACAAAGCAACACUGUCGAUGAACUUGACCUGGACUUGGUUACAUGUAUUUGAAAGGGGUCUCUAUUCCAGAGACUGAUAAUUUACUGGUGCUUGGUGCCUGGUGUUAUUAUAUAUGAACAGUAUUACCUUAUUUCCAGUGAAUUGUUUAUAAACCACCACUAAAUAUUAAGAUUAAUAAUUAUUUAUUGAUUCUUGGUGAAAUACAAAUGUAAAA